rnacentral:lncRNA from 1 species
GGAUGGACCAUUCACUACGGAUUGAUUUAUUUAAGAACCGCUUAUUUAAAUAUGGUGUUCAGGGUCAGAGAGGAUUGUUUCAGAAGACAGUUGCAUAGAGCAAGGUGGAUUCGUGUUACACUGAUCUUAUUCACAUUCAAAGGGAGUGAUAGACAUUUCAUUCUUUCCGAAGUUCACAGUUGCUGAAAAAAAAAAUAUUUGGGAACUCUGCCACUGUUUUCCGCACUUCCCAGAAUUAUUCUUUCCCUUUUGGCUGCCUGA